rnacentral:rRNA from 1 species
AAACCAACAGGGAUUGCCUUAGUAACGGCGAGUGAAGCGGCAAAAGCUCAAAUUUGAAAUCUGGCACCUUCGGUGUCCCAGUUGUAAUUUGAAGAAGGUAACUUUGGAGUCAGCUCUUGUCUAUGUUCCUUGGAACAGGACGUCACAGAGGGUGAGAAUCCCGUGCGAUGAGAUGUCUGAUUCUAUGUAAAGUGCUUUCGAAGAGUCGAGUUGUUUGGGAAUGCAGCUCUAAGUGGGUGGUAAAUUCCAUCUAAAGCUAAAUAUUGGCGAGAGACCGAUAGCGAACAAGUACAGUGAUGGAAAGAUGAAAAGAACUUUGAAAAGAGAGUGAAAAAGUACGUGAAAUUGUUGAAAGGGAAGGGUUUGAGAUCAGACUUGGUAUUUUGUAUGUCUUGCUUUCGGGUGGGGCCUCUACAGUUUACUGGGCCAGCAUCGGUUUGGACGGUAGGAUAAUGACAUUGGAAUGUGGCACCACUUCGGUGGUGUGUUAUAGACUUUGUUGAUACUGCCUGUCUAGACCGAGGACUGCGUCUUUGACUAGGAUGCUGGCAUAAUGAUCUUAAACCGC